UUUACCACACACCCGCCCACAGGUGACGACGAAAGAAGAAGACAAGAAGAGACUUAAUGUAACUCUCAACAUGCCAUGCUUGCUACAGCUGAUGGAAGAAGGUCAAUCCAUGGCCUUCACUGGCGUCACCGGCGGCAGCUACACCAUGAACAAAGGAGCAUCGCAGCCGUUGGUCGAGGGGAUGGGACAAGCCCGGCGAGGUAAUGAGUCCUCCCCGCCGCUUCGCGUCGGAAAAGAGAGGGAGAGCGGCAGCGCCGGCCUCAAGUAGAAGUUCCUCGGCGACAGAACGCGGACGCCUCACCGUCGAUGAUCUUUUGCUGUGUUUUCCCCUUUUCUUGGAUAUUUAGAUCGGCAGUUCAUUACGAGGGUCGAUUGCUGAGCGGAAGCAAGUUCGAUUUCAGUCGGGACCCAGGGAAACCUCCGGCUAUCAGUGCUGCCAGUGGACUGCUGUUCAAGGCAUUUCUGAUGCUGCUCUGAACUUUGAGGUGGAACUGAUACCAUGGCUGACAGUAAUGGACAUUUGCAAGGAUGGUGGAAUAGUUAAAGAAAGUUUUAUCUAGCUUUCUAAAAGUCUGUUGGUUUGCCAUUAAAUAAUAUAUGUAUUUUUCCAAUAUUCUAACUGGUUCAUUUUCCAAAGUGUACAGUCAAGCAUUGUCUCAUCUGACACUCUUAACUUGAUGGAGCAACUGCUGCAGAAACUCCUAAAUGAUGGUUCUGAGUUUUGCAUUAAACAGAGUAUUUAUUUACAAGUAGAAAAUUAAUUUUUGUUCAUGAUGUUUUAUUUUAAGACCAAAGCUAACAAGUUGCACAUCAUCCAGGGCAAUUUGUAUCCAGCACUUACAAAGAUUGUCAAAGCCAUGAGAACAGGAGAGAAGGCUUCUGUCACCAUUCGGCCACAAUGUAUGGUCAACCACCGAAGGUAGCCUGUGAUGUUUUGGAGCUUUGGAUAUAUGUAUUGUCAAUUUUCAUAGCUACUAGUAUACUUUUUUCUCACCUUACACCUCCAUUAGCUUUUUCUUCCUAGAUUGUUCCUGUUUGUGAUGGAGAAGAAAAUUGUGGAUUGUGGAUCCUAUUAAAUUAUUGUGACAAAACCAAACCUGAUGAUCUGAUUCACAAACUCAACUCUGAUAAAUAUGGCCUAUUUGGACAAUGUACC